ensembl:lncRNA
GCGGAGGAGGGGCGCCAGGGCGGCGCGGGCCCGGGGCCACCUGCUGGCCGAGCCGCUGCUCCCCGGGGCGCCGCUUCCGCCUGGCCGAGCGCGGCGCCCCGAGGAGGCGGGAGGCCGCGGCGCAGCGCCCUGGGCCGGGCCCGCCGCGGGGCCUGGGCUCGCGGACCCUUGGUCGCCGCCCGCCCCGGAGCUGGAGCCGCCGCGGCCGCGGCUGCGGGCCGGGAACUUACCCUUUGCCGUCUGCGAGGCCGGCGGAGGUGGAGCGCGGGCUCGGUUCCGGCGGACUCGGUCCGAGGGGAGUUGGGGUGCGGGGGCUGUGCCCCAGGUCGAACGCCGGUGCUCGACGGACGCGGGGCGGGGGCGGGUUUGUGUCCCGCGCCUCCUGGGGGCAGCGCCGACCGCGGGCGCCCCGGAGCGGAACGGAAAGGAAUUCGGCCCGGGGAGAGCGUGCUGAACGCGGCGACACGCCGGACCGAAAGCCCCGGCGGGCGUGCGGAGGGCACGGACGGCCCGGCCCUACGGCCCCCGGCUCGGGGAGACCGGCCACUCCGCGUGGCCCUCACCCCGGAAGCAAAACUGGACCAGGCACAGGCAGAUGGAAGCCUUCUGUACCCACCACGGUGAUUGCUGUCAGUAUGAAGCUGCUGUACUCCUGGCUGGCCCAGGCCGCCUGCCGUCCUCCACGUGGGGCCAGUGUCUUGGGCUUCAUCUGCAAAUCCUUCACAGUUGAAUCUGUACCCAGGAGCACUUUGGUGAGAUCUGUAUCUUACG